rnacentral:rRNA from 1 species
UGCCCUACGGGAGGCAGCAGUGGGGAAUAUUGGACAAUGGGCGAAAGCCUGAUCCAGCAAUGCCGCGUGAGUGAUGAAGGCCUUAGGGUUGUAAAGCUCUUUUACCAGGGAUGAUAAUGACAGUACCUGGAGAAUAAGCUCCGGCUAACUCCGUGCCAGCAGCCGCGGUAAUACGGAGGGAGCUAGCGUUGUUCGGAAUUACUGGGCGUAAAGCGCACGUAGGCGGCGAUUCAAGUCAGAGGUGAAAGCCCGGGGCUCAACCCCGGAACUGCCUUUGAAACUAGAUUGCUAGAAUCCUGGAGAGGCGAGUGGAAUUCCGAGUGUAGAGGUGAAAUUCGUAGAUAUUCGGAAGAACACCAGUGGCGAAGGCGACUGACUGGACAAGUAUUGACGCUGAGGUGCGAAAGCGUGGGGAGCAAACAGGAUUAGAUACCCGAGUAGUC